rnacentral:rRNA from 1 species
CCUACGGGAGGCAGCAGUGGGGAAUAUUGCACAAUGGGGGAAACCCUGAUGCAGCGACGUCGCGUGAGUGAAGAAGUAUCUCGGUAUGUAAAGCUCCAUCAGCAGGGAAGAAAAUGACGGUACCUGUUGAAGAAGCCCCGGCUAACUACGGGCCAGCAGCCGCGGUAAUACGUAGGGGGCAAGCGUUAUCCGGAUUUACUGGGUGUAAAGGGAGCGUAGACGGGAAUGCAAGUCAGAAGUGAAAGCCCGGGGCUCAACUCCGGGACUGCUUUUGAAACUGUGUGUCUGGAGUGCAGGAGAGGUAAGCGGAAUUCCUGGUGUAGCGGUGAAAUGCGUAGAUAUCAGGAGGAACACCAGUGGCGAAGGCAGCUUACUGGACUGUAACUGACGUUGAGGCUCGAAAGCGUGGGGAGCAAACAGGAUUAGAUACCCUUGUAGUC